GUGGGGAAUCUUGCGCAAUGGGCGAAAGCCUGACGCAGCCAUGCCGCGUGAAUGAUGAAGGUCUUAGGAUUGUAAAAUUCUUUCACCGGGGACGAUAAUGACGGUACCCGGAGAAGAAGCUCCGGCUAACUUCGUGCCAGCAGCCGCGGUAAUACGAAGGGGGCUAGCGUUGCUCGGAAUUACUGGGCGUAAAGGGCGCGUAGGCGGACAGCUUAGUCAGAGGUGAAAGCCCAGGGCUCAACCUUGGAAUUGCCUUUGAUACUGGCUGUCUUGAGUUUGGGAGAGGUGAGUGGAACUCCGAGUGUAGAGGUGAAAUUCGUAGAUAGUCGGAAGAACACCAGUGGCGAAGGCGACUCACUGGCCCAAUACUGACGCUGAGGCGCGAAAGCGUGGGGAGCAAACAGGAUUAGAAACCCGGGUAGUCC
rnacentral:rRNA from 1 species